GAUGAACGCUGGCGGCGUGCCUAAUACAUGCAUGUCGAGCGAACGGACGAGAAGCUUGCUUCUCUGAUGUUAGCGGCGGACGGGUGAGUAACACGUGGAUAACCUACCUAUAAGGCUGGGAUAACUUCGGGAAACCGGAGCUAAUACCGGAUAAUAUUUUGAACCGCAUGGUUCAAAAGUGAAAGACGGUCUUGCUGUCACUUAUAGAUGGAUCCGCGCUGCAUUAGCUAGUUGGUAAGGUAACGGCUUACCAAGGCAACGAUGCAUAGCCGACCUGAGAGGGUGAUCGGCCACACUGGAACUGAGACACGGUCCAGACUCCUACGGGAGGCAGCAGUAGGGAAUCUUCCGCAAUGGGCGAAAGCCUGACGGAGCAACGCCGCGUGAGUGAUGAAGGUCUUCGGAUCGUAAAACUCUGUUAUUAGGGAAGAACAUAUGUGUAAGUAACUGUGCACAUCUUGACGGUACCUAAUCAGAAAGCCACGGCUAACUACGUG
rnacentral:rRNA from 1 species